GGGAACUGAAUAAGCAAUUGUUAAAGACAUAUUCUUUUAGCUCCUUUAUCCUUUUUCUUUUCUUCUUUUUUCUUAGCACAGGCUUUAUGUAUUAUUCUCCCUUUUAUCUUUUUUCUUUUAUUUUAAUUUUUUAUUAGGCAUCAAAUCAUAAAAGAAUUUUAUACCAUCAUGUUACUUAAAAAAACUUACUUCAAUUAACUUCCCCUUUUUCUUCUCUUUUUUUUGCUAACCAUCUCAUAUUUUUGAGACUUGAAAGUGUUACUAUUAGUGUGCAUAAUAAAAUGUUGAUGUGUGUGGUGUACCAACACUAGUAAAAAGAUAUAAUGGACAAACUAUCCGAUACCUUCUACCUUCCAUCAAAUGCGCAAAAUGAAAAGAUCAAUUUUCUUGGCUGGUGUCGUAUCUAGUAAGAUUCGAACUUAGAUUACCAAGAUUGUUACUCUUAACUAAGUUAUCAAAUUCAAAUGUGUAUAUCCUGAUUGCCAAAAGAAGACGCAUUCACAACAUGUUUGGAUCAAUAGUCUCCCAUUCUACAGGAAGAAAAGAUGAUGACACAGAGAAGUCUUGGAACUCAGAUAUGAAGAAACUGGUUCUAAAAUAUUAGUCUCAACCCUCGGGAUAAGUGGUGGAGCCAGGAUUUUCAUACCAGGAAUUUAAGCAUGUGAUCUCUCGUUGAGGGGAUUCAACAACUUUUAUAUAUGUCAAAAGACUUUUUUUUUUAUCCUAUUUGUACAGUAUAUGGAUUCAACUUCCUCCAAGCUAGCUCAGGAUAGUCAACAAGUUCUCGUAUACAUGAAGUCUUAGUUGGAUCAACGAGGAUCAUUGGAAAAGUUUCCUCGAGUUUGCUAGGAUCAAGGACAUUACUAUGCCCAGAAUAUUGAACAUAUAGUUGUAUAGAGUUUGAAACUAUUAAGUUAAUUUGAACUAUAUCUUAUACGUCUCGAAACAAAUUGCUUUGCAGCUAUUCUAAGCUAUUCAAGGAUUCUCUUUAUAUUCUUAAUCCACUAAAGGUUUGGUUUCUGUCA